ensembl:lncRNA
ACCGGUACAGAGUCAAUGUAGAGGCUAUAUACAGGGUGUUAUGGUACAGAGUCAAUGUGGAGACUAUAUACAGGGUGUUACGGUACAGAGUCAAUGUGGAGGCUAUAUACAGGGGGUACCGGUACAGAGUCAAUGUGGAGGCUAUAUACAGGGGGUACCGGUACAGAGUCAAUGUGGAGACUAUAUACAGGGUGUUACGGUACAGAGUUAAUGUGGAGGCUAUAUACAGGGGUACCGGUACAGAGUCAGUGUGGAGGCUAUAUACAGGGGGUACCGGUACAGAGUCAAUGUGGAGACUAUAUACAGGGGGUACCGGUACAGAGUCAAUGUGGAGGCUAUAUACAGGGGGUACCGGUACAGAGUCAAUGUGGAGACUAUAUACAGGGGGUACCGGUACAGAGUCAAUGUGGAGGCUAUAUACAGGGGGUACCGGUACAGAGUCAAUGUGGAGGCUAUAUACAGGG